ACGUAGGGGGCUAGCGUUGUUCGGAUUUACUGGGCGUAAAGAGCGCGUAGGUGGUUAUACAAGUUAGGGGUGAAAUCCCGGAGCUUAACUUCGGAACUGCUUCUAAAACUGUAUAGCUUGAGUGUGGUAGGGGGUAAUAGAAUUCCUAGUGUAGAGGUGAAAUUCUUAGAUAUUAGGAGGAAUACCGAUGGCGAAGGCGAUUACCUGGGCCACUACUGACACUGAGGCGCGAAAGCGUGGGGAGCAAACAGG
rnacentral:rRNA from 1 species